rfam:Gossypium hirsutum cultivar TM-1 chromosome 17, whole genome shotgun sequence
CACGUCAGCGCCAGUUGCUGACGUGGCAGCAAAUCGCGUCCUAGAGGGCGUGAUUUGUUGCCAUGUCAUCAACUCGCGCUGACGUGG